GGAUACCACCUGGAAACAGGUGCUAAUACCGCAUAAGCGCACGGGAGCGCAUGCUCCUGUGUGAAAAACUCCGGUGGUAUGGGAUGGACCCGCGUCUGAUUAGCCAGUUGGCAGGGUAACGGCCUACCAAAGCGACGAUCAGUAGCCGGCCUGAGAGGGUGGACGGCCACAUUGGGACUGAGACACGGCCCAAACUCCUACGGGAGGCAGCAGUGGGGAAUAUUGCACAAUGGGGGAAACCCUGAUGCAGCGACGCCGCGUGAGUGAAGAAGUAUUUCGGUAUGUAAAGCUCUAUCAGCAGGAACGAGACAAGACGGUACCUGACUAAGAAGCCCCGGCUAACUACGUGCCAGCAGCCGCGGUAAUACGUAGGGGGCAAGCGUUAUCCGGAAUCACUGGGUGUAAAGGGAGCGUAGACGGCUGUGCAAGCCUGAAGUGAAAGGCGGGGGCCCAACCCCUGGACUGCUUUGGGAACUGUACGGCUGGAGUGCAGGAGAGGUAAGUGGAAUUCCUAGUGUAGCGGUGAAAUGCGUAGAUAUUAGGAGGAACACCAGUGGCGAAGGCGGCUUACUGGACUGUAACUGACGUUGAGGCUCGAAAGCGUGGGGAGCAAACAGGAUUAGAUACCCUGGUAGUCCACGCCGUAAACGAUGAUUAAUAGGUGUCGGGGGGCAGAGGCCCUUCGGUGCCGCAG
rnacentral:rRNA from 1 species